rnacentral:rRNA from 1 species
UUAAGUUAUUAAGGGCGCACGGUGGAUGCCUUGGCACUAGAAGCCGAUGAAGGACGUUACUAACGACGAUAUGCUUUGGGGAGCUGUAAGUAAGCUUUGAUCCAGAGAUUUCCGAAUGGGGAAACCCAGCAUGAGUUAUGUCAUGUUAUCGAUAUGUGAAUACAUAGCAUAUCAGAAGGCACACCCGGAGAACUGAAACAUCUUAGUACCCGGAGGAAGAGAAAGAAAAUUCGAUUCCCUUAGUAGCGGCGAGCGAAACGGGAAGAGCCCAAACCAACAAGCUUGCUUGUUGGGGUUGUAGGACACUCUGUACGGAGUUACAAAGGACGACAUUAGACGAAUCAUCUGGAAAGAUGAAUCAAAGAAGGUAAUAAUCCUGUAGUCGAAAAUGUUGUCUCUCUUGAGUGGAUCCUGAGUACGACGGAGCACGUGAAAUUCCGUCGGAAUCUGGGAGGACCAUCUCCUAAGGCUAAAUACUCUCUAGUGACCGAUAGUGAACCAGUACCGUGAGGGAAAGGUGAAAAGCACCCCGGAAGGGGAGUGAAAUAGAACCUGAAACCGUGUGCUUACAAGUAGUCAGAGCCCGUUAAUGGGUGAUGGCGUGCCUUUUGUAGAAUGAACCGGCGAGUUACGAUUUGAUGCAAGGUUAAGCAGUAAAUGUGGAGCCGUAGCGAAAGCGAGUCUGAAUAGGGCGUUUAGUAUUUGGUCGUAGACCCGAAACCAGGUGAUCUACCCUUGGUCAGGUUGAAGUUCAGGUAACACUGAAUGGAGGACCGAACCGACUUACGUUGAAAAGUGAGCGGAUGAACUGAGGGUAGCGGAGAAAUUCCAAUCGAACCUGGAGAUAGCUGGUUCUCUCCGAAAUAGCUUUAGGGCUAGCCUCAAGUGAUGAUUAUUGGAGGUAGAGCACUGUUUGGACGAGGGGCCCCUCUCGGGUUACCGAAUUCAGACAAACUCCGAAUGCCAAUUAAUUUAACUUGGGAGUCAGAACAUGGGUGAUAAGGUCCGUGUUCGAAAGGGAAACAGCCCAGACCACCAGCUAAGGUCCCAAAAUAUAUGUUAAGUGGAAAAGGAUGUGGCGUUGCCCAGACAACUAGGAUGUUGGCUUAGAAGCAGCCAUCAUUUAAAGAGUGCGUAAUAGCUCACUAGUCGAGUGACACUGCGCCGAAAAUGUACCGGGGCUAAACAUAUUACCGAAGCUGUGGAUUGUCCUUUGGACAAUGGUAGGAGAGCGUUCUAAGGGCGUUGAAGCAUGAUCGUAAGGACAUGUGGAGCGCUUAGAAGUGAGAAUGCCGGUGUGAGUAGCGAAAGACGGGUGAGAAUCCCGUCCACCGAUUGACUAAGGUUUCCAGAGGAAGGCUCGUCCGCUCUGGGUUAGUCGGGUCCUAAGCUGAGGCCGACAGGCGUAGGCGAUGGAUAACAGGUUGAUAUUCCUGUACCACCUAUAAUCGUUUUAAUCGAUGGGGGGACGCAGUAGGAUAGGCGAAGCGUGCGAUUGGAUUGCACGUCUAAGCAGUAAGGCUGAGUAUUAGGCAAAUCCGGUACUCGUUAAGGCUGAGCUGUGAUGGGGAGAAGACAUUGNNNNNNNGUCUUCGAGUCGUUGAUUUCACACUGCCGAGAAAAGCCUCUAGAUAGAAAAUAGGUGCCCGUACCGCAAACCGACACAGGUAGUCAAGAUGAGAAUUCUAAGGUGAGCGAGCGAACUCUCGUUAAGGAACUCGGCAAAAUGACCCCGUAACUUCGGGAGAAGGGGUGCUCUUUAGGGUUAACGCCCAGAAGAGCCGCAGUGAAUAGGCCCAAGCGACUGUUUAUCAAAAACACAGGUCUCUGCUAAACCGUAAGGUGAUGUAUAGGGGCUGACGCCUGCCCGGUGCUGGAAGGUUAAGAGGAGUGGUUAGCUUCUGCGAAGCUACGAAUCGAAGCCCCAGUAAACGGCGGCCGUAACUAUAACGGUCCUAAGGUAGCGAAAUUCCUUGUCGGGUAAGUUCCGACCCGCACGAAAGGCGUAACGAUUUGGGCACUGUCUCAACGAGAGACUCGGUGAAAUCAUAGUACCUGUGAAGAUGCAGGUUACCCGCGACAGGACGGAAAGACCCCGUGGAGCUUUACUGUAGCCUGAUAUUGAAAUUCGGCACAGCUUGUACAGGAUAGGUAGGAGCCUUUGAAACGUGAGCGCUAGCUUACGUGGAGGCGCUGGUGGGAUACUACCCUAGCUGUGUUGGCUUUCUAACCCGCACCACUUAUCGUGGUGGGAGACAGUGUCAGGCGGGCAGUUUGACUGGGGCGGUCGCCUCCUAAAAGGUAACGGAGGCGCUCAAAGGUUCCCUCAGAAUGGUUGGAAAUCAUUCAUAGAGUGUAAAGGCAUAAGGGAGCUUGACUGCGAGACCUACAAGUCGAGCAGGGUCGAAAGACGGACUUAGUGAUCCGGUGGUUCCGCAUGGAAGGGCCAUCGCUCAACGGAUAAAAGCUACCCCGGGGAUAACAGGCUUAUCUCCCCCAAGAGUUCACAUCGACGGGGAGGUUUGGCACCUCGAUGUCGGCUCAUCGCAUCCUGGGGCUGUAGUCGGUCCCAAGGGUUGGGCUGUUCGCCCAUUAAAGCGGUACGCGAGCUGGGUUCAGAACGUCGUGAGACAGUUCGGUCCCUAUCCGUCGUGGGCGUAGGAAAUUUGAGAGGAGCUGUCCUUAGUACGAGAGGACCGGGAUGGACAUACCUCUGGUGUACCAGUUGUCGUGCCAACGGCAUAGCUGGGUAGCUAUGUGUGGACGGGAUAAGUGCUGAAAGCAUCUAAGCAUGAAGCCCCCCUCAAGAUGAGAUUUCCCAACUUCGGUUAUAAGAUCCCUCAAAGAUGAUGAGGUUAAUAGGUUCGAGGUGGAAGCAUGGUGACAUGUGGAGCUGACGAAUACUAAUCGAUCGAAGACUUAAUCAA